rnacentral:rRNA from 1 species
GACGAACGCUGGCGGCGUGCUUAACACAUGCAAGUCGAACGGAAAGGCCCUGCUUUUGUGGGGUGCUCGAGUGGCGAACGGGUGAGUAACACGUGAGUAACCUGCCCUUGACUUUGGGAUAACUUCAGGUAACUGGGGCUAAUACCGGAUAGGAGCUCCUGCUGCAUGGGGGGGGUUGGAAAGUUUCGGCGGUUGGGGAUGGACUCGCGGCUUAUCAGCUUGUUGGUGGGGUAGUGGCUUACCAAGGCUUUGACGGGUAGCCGGCCUGAGAGGGUGACCGGCCACAUUGGGACGGGGUUACGGCCCAGCCUCCUACGGGAGGAAGCAGUGGGGAAUAUUGCACAAUGGGCGGAAGCUGAAUGCGGAAACGCCGCGUGCGGGAUAACGGCCUUCGGGUUGUAAACCGCUUUAGCCUGUGACGAAGCGUGAGUGACGGUAAUGGGUAAAGAAGCACCGGCUAACUACGUG